GGCAAACCCUAAUUCAUUUUCACCCUCCCCCGCCGCGGCGUCCUCUCGUGUCUUCUCGACUUCUCCCCUCUUCCCACUCCCCAGCGCUCCCCGUCUUCUCGCUGGCUCCGACGGCGCGUGGCGACGCUGGCGGGCGACGGCGAGACGCCGCCGUCCCCAGCCCUUCUUCUCGCCCUCCGGCAGCUCCGGCUCCGGUGCUCCGAAGAUGCAGGUAAGAGCUCCUUCGCUUCGUAACUGUUCUCCUCUCUCGUUUUCUGUCCGUGUUCUUAGUCCCCUCCAAUUUCUUGUUCUAUUCUUCAGAUCCGUUGAUCAGCAGCUGCUCCGAGAUUCUUCUUUAGCUCCGGCGACGGCGAGGUAAGAAAAAGUCAAAAACAUGACCGUAACCCUAACAGUGAACCCUAACUUCUUUGAGCUUUGCUUCUCGUUUUUCGUUUGUUGUUUCUCUGGAUCCCUGACUUUUUUCAUUUCAUCUUUGCUUGUGUAGCAAUUUGAGGCUAGUGACGAUGGCGCGACAGGCCCCCUCUGAAUCGACGGUCGAGGCCAGUGGCACUGACCGUGAGAUGGAGAGGAUGCGGGACUAUAUGCGCAACCAAGCACUGUCCUCUUUGCACCACUAGUGAGGGAGACAGAUGUGAUGCUGCCGGAUCCCAUGUUGCCAGAUCCCACCACUAGUGAGGGAGACUGACAUGACGCCGCCGGAUCUCGCGUAGCCAAAUUGCCGCCAGUGAGACGGACGCACAGUCACCCUUGAUCCAUAGCACCACCCAGAUCUGCUGUCGGGGGCACAACCCCCUGGAUCCGCAGGUGGGGCGCGUGUGUUCUCCUCUGGAUCUAUUGGAGCCUGGCAAAUUCGAUAGAUAAACCGUUCCACGCUUCUACUAGUUCCUGCUAAGCAUUUCUCUCUCUUACCAAGUUACAAGAGAAAAUCUUUAGUUAGCUCCAUGAAUUGGACAUGCCCUAAAGAAAACAUAAAAAUGGUUC
rnacentral:lncRNA from 1 species